UACGGAGGGGACUAGCGUUAAUCGGAAUUACUGGGCGUAAAGCGUGCGCAGGCGGUUUUGUAAGUCAGAUGUGAAAUCCCCGGGCUUAACCUGGGAACUGCGUUUGAAACUACAAGGCUAGAGUGUGGCGGAGGGGGGUGGAAUUCCACGUGUAGCAGUGAAAUGCGUAGAGAUGUGGAGGAACACCGAUGGCGAAGGCAGCCCCCUGGGUUAACACUGACGCUCAGGCACGAAAGCGUGGGGAGCAAACAGG
rnacentral:rRNA from 1 species